rnacentral:rRNA from 1 species
AUUGAACGCUGGCGGCAGGCCUAACACAUGCAAGUCGAACGAGUGGCGGACGGGUGAGUAAUGUCUGGGAAACUGCCUGAUGGAGGGGGAUAACUACUGGAAACUGUAUCUAAUACCGCAUACCAUCGUAAGUCCCCAGAUGGGAUUGGCUAGUAGGGGGGGUAACGGCUCACCUGGGCGCCGAUCCCUAUCUGGUCUGAGAGGAUGACCAGCCACACUGGAACUGAGACACGGUCCAGACUCCUACGGGAGGCAGCAGUGGGGAAUAUUGCACAAUGGGCGCAAGCCUGAUGCAGCCAUGCCGCGUGUAUGAAGAAGGCCUUCGGGUUGUAAAGUACUUUCAGCGGGGAGGCGUUACCCGCAGAAGAAGCACCGGCUAACUCCGUGCCAGCCGCCGCGGUAAUUC